rnacentral:lncRNA from 1 species
AAGUAAACUUUUUAAUUCCAUCACAAUAUGUUCUAGAUCUUUGACAGACUGAAAGACAUAGAAUGUCAAAAGGUGAGACUCUCUCAUGUGGCUAAACACCCUCCUACUGCAGAUACAGAACUGAGCCCAAGAGCAUUCACAUGCUGGUGAGAGGUGGUGGCCAGGGGCAGGCAGAUGGUUGCACCACUCUCAGGGUCAGCAUCCUCCCCAGUGUGGCAUGGGGGAGGGGAGGGGAGGGGGCACGGGGCCUGGGAGGCUGUAGCCUAAAGGCACGCAGCGGGCAAGAGACUACUGGGCGGACCCCUGCCAGCCUUCAGUUCCAUGAGCGUCUGGUGCCAGGACGCUCCUUGUGGGCUCUGCCCUGGGAGAAGUGCCCUUGCCCAGUGCUCCUUCUCGGUGUCUGUGACGUGCUGUCUCCAGUCCUCCUCAUUAGCAUACCUUGGCCGACCUUUGGCUCAUGGAAAAACACUUUGCUCUUCUCGGAACAAUUUCUUUUUCACAACUGAGCAAAUGACUGAUGAGGUGACCACACUCAUGACCAUACUCAUCUGUUGGUGGUGGGUGGGGGGUGGACUGGAUGAGGACAGCAUUGGGCAACACUCUUUCUGGCCUCCCCACUGCAGGGAGCCACAAUUACUGUGGGAGGCCAGGGUAGUCCAGGGUUUCCCUUUGGGCCAUCAGCAUUCCAACUGCUCCUCCUACUUCUGGCCUCUGGAGAACUAAAUUACCACCAUGCACUUCCCAUUCCACCUGUGCCUCAGCCCGAGGGUCCUGCUCUUCCUGCAUAUUCAAGCUGAUCUUUCUAGGGAGUAGCCUGCACUGUGCCAGCACUACCCCCUUGUCACAGGCAGCACCUCCCUGUGCUGGGGGAGCCUCAGUCUGCCCUUGGGCUCAGGCCCCUAGGCUCAGGUUAGCUGACAUUCCCAGGAAAUCCUACAACUUCUCCUUUCCUUUCAUGGCUGUAAGACACAGUCCACUAUCAGUCUCAUUGUAAAAGACAUUUCUAAAGAGUGUCCUCCUUUCUUUCCCAACACUAGCAGGGACAGUAAGUGAUGUUUCCUGGGAGAUGCUAUGGUGUUAUUUUUGCACUACAAGGGCUCUGAAGACUGCCAGGCUUGAAAUGAAGAACGAUGUCACCUGCCUAUCACAGCCAGGUGACAAUGGACAAGGGGCUUCACCUCUGAGCUGUUUUCCAGCUGCACUGGGCACAUUCCUCCCCUCACCCUGACUCACAAGGUGUUAGCAAUAAUGGACACUUCUCUACCUUCUGCCACACUCUGAACAAUGCCACACUUCCAUCAAAUGGAUUCAUCCCAAAGGUAAAGCCCAUCACUUCUAGAGGGAGAAAGGUAAUGUUUUCCUACCACUUUUAUUUGAUCUCAUUUAGAAGGUACUUGAGGAAUAGAGAAGACUGGGUUUUCUCUGGGAUUAUACUUAGGCAUUUCUUAACGACUGGGACAUGUUCUGAAAAAUCUGUCAUUACACAAUUUCAUCAUUGUGCUAUCAUAGAGCAUACACACCCGACCCUAGAUGGCAUAGCCUACUCCACACCUAGGCUGUACAGUAUGGCCUGUUGCUCAAGGCUACACACCUGUACAGCAUGUUACUGUACUGGAUACUGUAGGCAACUGUAACACAGUGGUAUUUGUGUAUCUAAACGUAUAUAAACACAGAAAAGGUAUAGUAAAAGAUGGUAUAAUUUCAUGGGACCACCAUCCGAUACACCAUCCAUCACCAACAGAAACAUGGUUAUGAGGCACAGGACUGUAACUGCAGCCCCUGCCAUGAGGUCAAUGGCAGCCUGGAUAGGGGGAUUGGACUUCAUGUUUGCCCACUCUUCUGGUCUCAUGGAAGGCAGCUCUCUGGAGCUUAUGACAGGCACCACAUAUCCCUGGGGGGAGGCAAGAGUUCACCAUUAGUCCAAGUCUGCAGCCUCCCAUUCUCUAGGCCUGCAGCCAAAUUACUGGACCUAAACUUCUGGGAGCCAUGAACUGGGCUCUACAUUGUUCCAAAGGAAAGGGGCUCAAGGAAUCAGUGCAGCUUAGCAAUUGUCCCUUAGAAAGCUCACAGAUCAAAAACCUCCCCUGCGUAUCAAUUCUACAGCCACCAGCAGCACUUCAACUGACCUUUCUG